GACGAACGCUGGCGGCGUGCUUAACACAUGCAAGUCGAGCGGAAAGGCCACUUCGGUGGUACUCGAGCGGCGAACGGGUGAGUAACACGUGAGUAAUCUGCCCCUGGCUUCGGGAUAGCCACCGGAAACGGCGAUUAAUACCGGAUAUGACCACGUCUCGCAUGGGGUGUGGUGGAAAGUUUUUCGGCCAGGGAUGUGCUCGCGGCCUAUCAGCUUGAUGGUGAGGUAAUGGCUCACCAUGGCUUCGACGGGUAGCCGGCCUGAGAGGGUGACCGGUCACACUGGGAUUGAGGCACGGCGCAGACUCCUACGGGAGGCAGCAGUGGGGAAUAUUGGGCAAUGGGCGGAAGCCUGAUCUAGCAACGCCGCGUGAGGAAUGACGGCCUUCGGGUUGUAAACCUCUUUCAGUACCGACGAAGCGCAAGUGACGGUAGGUACAGAAGAAGCACCGGCCAACUACGUGCCAGCCGCCGCCGUAAGAC
rnacentral:rRNA from 1 species